AUUGUUUUUUCGUUCAUGUUUUUUGUACAUAAAUAAGGCCGUUAGUUUUCUCGUUUGAAUUGUUUUACAUUGCAUUUCGGGGCCUUUUAUAGCUGACUUUACGAUAUGGGUUUUGCUCAUUGUUGAAGGCCGUACGGUGACCUAUAGUUGUUAAUUUCUGUGUCAUUUUGGUCUCUUGUGGAGAGUUGUCUCAUUGGCAAUCAUACCACACCUUCUUUUUUUUUUAUUAUAAUGAAUUUUUGUAAAAGAUUUAAUUGAUGGAGAAUUUCAGAAAAGGUAUCAAAAGUCAGGUGCUUUGGGACAGGACAAUUGUUUUCCUAGCCCUGGUCCUCCUUUAUUUUUCAAAAAAUCCCAUUUUU
rnacentral:lncRNA from 1 species